GAUGAACGCUAGCGGGAGGCUUAACACAUGCAAGUCGAGGGGCAGCAUAGGGUAGCAAUACUCUGAUGGCGACCGGCAAACGGGUGAGUAACGCGUAUGCAACCUACCCUGUACAGGGGGAUAACCCGGAGAAAUUCGGACUAAUAUCCCGUAAUAAUAUCCGGAGGCAUCUUUGGAUAUUUAAAGUUCCGACGGUACGGGAUGGGCAUGCGUAACAUUAACUGGUUGGUAAGGUAACGGCUUACCAAGGCUAUGAUGUUUAGGGGUCCUGAGAGGGUGGUCCCCCACACUGGUACUGAGACACGGACCAGACUCCUACGGGAGGCAGCAGUGAGGAAUAUUGGUCAAUGGGCGCAAGCCUGAACCAGCCAUCCCCGGUGCAGGAAGACGGCCCUAUGGGUUGUAAACUGCUUUUCCAGGGAGAGAAACUUACGCACGUGUUGCGUGACUGACGGUACCCUGGGAAUAAGCAUCGGCUAACUCCGUG
rnacentral:rRNA from 1 species